rfam:Schistosoma rodhaini strain Burundi genome assembly, scaffold: SROB_scaffold0008125
AUCCAGUUGAUUCGUCCCAAAUAGGACGAAACGCAUGUCCUGGAU